ACCGUUCACUACAACCGAGAUGC
rnacentral:siRNA from 1 species